UACGUAGGUGGCAAGCGUUGUCCGGAAUAACUGGGCGUAAAGCGCAUGUAGACGGCAUGAUAAGCCAAAUGUGAAAUGUAGGGGCUCAACCCCUGCACUGCGAUUGGAACUGUCAAGCUUGAGUGCAGGAGAGGCAAAUGGAAUUCCCAGUGUAGCAGUGAAAUGCGUAGAGAUUGGGAGGAACACCAGUGGCGAAGGCGAUUUGCUGGACUGCAACUGACGUUGAGAUGCGAAAGCUAGGGGAGCAAACGGG
rnacentral:rRNA from 1 species